CCGGACAAGUGCCUGGCAAAUAAUGGGCUGUGUAUACCAAAUGAAUGAAUGAAGUGAAAGUUAAUGACAAUGUUUAUAUACUUUCAUAAAACAUUUAUAAGACUUUAUCACACUUUUAAUAUAUUAAUCUAGGUUAUCUUGCUGAUUCUAUAUUCUUUGAUGAAUUUCUGCCACCUUCAAAUUAGAUUGUAAGAUAAUUGAGGUAAAAGACAUGAGAAAACUAUUCCUAAAUGAUUUGUUUUGAGUGUGCCAUUCUGAUUUGGGGAUAGGCAUUUUGAAUUUUUAUUCUUAUAUUAGCACAGUAUCAUGUUGUAUCAGAAAUGCCUACAGCAUAGUUUUUUCUUUAGGUAUUUCCUAGCCUGCCCACAUUCAGAGGAAGAAAUUCUGCUGCACCAUUUUAGAGGCGUGUCUGAAAGACGUGAAGACAGUCACGCAUGGAUGCAAUAUGGGACAUUCCUUAUUCCUUCAGCCCAGACAGCUUUGUUGAGCCUGGUGUCAAGGUGCAUACCUGGAGUUCCUGUCUCUGUGGCGUAUUUCCAAAUCUGUGAGUGCCCAAGGGGUGUGCUUCUUAAAACCCACUCCACGGACAUGCUUGUGAAUGGAAACAGUGUAUUCUCUGGUCCCUACCUUGUCAUUGGCAGGACGGCCCUCUUCCUUCUCCCUAUACUUCUUUCAGGGUACAGGUUGGAAAGGAAGAGCAUAAGGUAUUCCAAAUCCAGAUCAUUUUACUCUAAUGCCCUACCCUUCACUUUUACUUUCCUCCCUAACAUUCCAGUAGAGAGGAACAGAUUGAAGGAGGGGGAAUAACUUAGGAAGUAAAGACCAUCUAAUACCCUAGAGAAUGUAUAUAACACAACCUUCGUUCAGGGCAGUUGGUUGCAUCUGGACCACUGCCCCAGCCAUCCCAAUGUGGAAUCAGAGUUGCCUCUCCCGGGAGUUCCCAUCGUGGCUCAGCAGGUUAUGAACUCGACUAGUAUCCAUGAAGAUGCAGGUUCACUCCCUGGCCUUGCUCAGUGGGUUAAGGAUCCGGCAUUCCCGUGAACUGUAGUGUGGGUCACAGAUGCAGCUCAGAUCCCUCGUUGCUGUGGCUGUGGUAUAGGCUGGCAGCUGUAGCGCCAGUUUGACCCCUGUCCUUGAACUGCUAUAUGCCACGGGUGCAGCCCUAAAAAGCAAAAAAAAAAAAAAAAGAAAAGAAAAAAUUAAGAAUUUCCACUCCCUUUUUCUCACAUAGCUUUCAAUUAUGCUUCAUCUCCUUAUAUAGUUGACCCUUGAACAACUUGAAUUUGAAAUGCGUAGAUCUACAAGUGGAUUUUUUUCAAUAGUAAAUCCUACAAAAUUACACAAUCCUCAGUUGACUGAAUCCAUGGAUACCAAGCCACAGAUGCCAAACCUCAGAUACAGAGCUCUAAGCUCUACUUGGAUUUUCAACUGCUCAGAGUGUUGAAACCGUCCCAUUUUGUUCAAGGACCAACUAUAUAUUAAGUCAGGUGAUAAACUACACUACCUUUAAUUGAAAUUUUUUUUUUCUUUUUAACUAUACCCUUGGUUGAUAUGUAAGGUUUAUAUAAUUUUGGUAUUUGCCUGAAAUAUUAAUGUUGGACAAGGGGCAGGGAGCCCUUGACCAGAAUUCAUAAUGCCAGAUGUGAAGGAAAGCCUAAAGCUAUUUGAAAGGUUUUGGGCUUCUGGGCUAGUGUCCUAUAUUGUGAGGUAUUGGGAAUUCACAUGAGGCAGGUAUGACGUGGCCUUCAAGACAAUCAAAGGAGGUCAAAAUUCUCUCUGAUUGCCUUUCCUAAUAAACUACCCAGCUGACAUAGGAUAUAAGUUACAAUAUGGGGUAGGAGGGAGCAAUGUGCAAAAGUUGAGGCUUGUGAAGCGAGGCACUGGAAGAUGAGAUGGGUUUGCACAGCCUUGUUCAAAAUGUACCCUUUUGAAUCAGGAGACAGCCUAUGGCAAAUACUGGUCAAUUCUCCCUCCAGCCUUUUCAACCUAGAUGAUAAGUCUAAGCUAAUCAUGGUACUUUCAUCCCACUUGCUAUUUGUUUGUUUGUUUUAACAACUUUGAGAUGUCAUUGACAUAAAAGUUAUAUUUUUAUAUAUACUUAAAGUGUAUAACUUGGUAUACAUAUACAAUGUGUAAUGACCACCACAAUGAAGCUAAUUAACAUAUCCAUCACCUCUACAUAGUUACCUCUGUGUGUGUGUGUGUGUGUGUGUGUGUGUGUGUGUUCAGUAGAUUUAAGAUCUAUCCUCUUAGCAAAUUUCAAGUAUAGGCAUACCUCAGAGAUAGCAGUUUGGUUCCAAACCACUGCAAUAAAGCUGAUAUCAUGUUAAAGUGAGUCCCAUGAAGUUUUUGGUUUCCCAAUGUAUAUAAAAAUUAUGUUUAUACUAUAUUGUAGUCUGUUAAAUGUGCAAUAAUGGCAUGUCUAAGAAAUAAUAUACAUACCUUAAUUUAAAAUACUUUAUUGCUAAAGUAUGUUAACCAUCAUCUAAUCCUUCAGC
rnacentral:lncRNA from 1 species